rnacentral:rRNA from 1 species
AUUGAACGCUGGCGGCAGGCCUAACACAUGCAAGUCGAACGGUAACAGGAAGAAGCUUGCUUCUUUGCUGACGAGUGGCGGACGGGUGAGUAAUGUCUGGGAAACUGCCUGAUGGAGGGGGAUAACUACUGGAAACGGUAGCUAAUACCGCAUAAUGUCGCAAGACCAAAGAGGGGGACCUUCGGGCCUCUUGCCAUCGGAUGUGCCCAGAUGGGAUUAGCUAGUAGGUGGGGUAACGGCUCACCUAGGCGACGAUCCCUAGCUGGUCUGAGAGGAUGACCAGCCACACUGGAACUGAGACACGGUCCAGACUCCUACGGGAGGCAGCAGUGGGGAAUAUUGCACAAUGGGCGCAAGCCUGAUGCAGCUAUGCCGCGUGUAUGAAGAAGGCCUUCGGGUUGUAAAGUACUUUCAGCGGGGAGGAAGGGAGUAAAGUUAAUACCUUUGCUCAUUGACGUUACCCGCAGAAGAAGCACCGGCUAACUCCG